AGUCACUUUUCACCUGAAAUGGAGCCAGAGAAGCAUCCCCUUAAUGAUUUUCCUCCCUCAGAAGUACUGCCUAAAAAUGGGCCUCUAUUGGAGCAGAUAUCUCCCAUUAUAAAAGAGAACCAAAAUUCUCAAGAGUCUCACAGUCAGCAUGACUGUGUAAGUGAUGGUCCAGCAGAACCCAGAAAUAUGCACAAUGUUAAUGGUACACUGAGUUGUGACAAAAAUCUAAUCACUGAUGAUACACGAAUUGGAAGCGUAGAUGAAAAUUAUUUGAAGAGCAUUUUUAUUCAGCCAAAAGAACUAACACAGAAAAACAAUCACAGUGUUUCAACUGAAAUUGAGGUGAUGACAUCAAAUGCAACAUUUGAAAAUGUACACAAUGAGAAACUGCCAGAAAAUCUAAAUGAGAGGCCAAAUGAAUCGACUUUCCUUGAUCCUUCACAAAACAGUAAUUCAGCAGGUGGCCCAAGCUCUACAAAGGAGAGGGAAUACAGUUCAAAUGUGAGUCAAGACUGCCCCACAGCCAACUUGCAAAUGGAAACAUCCUCUAAAUCCCUUGAACAAACUGAUUUGCCUGACAAGGACACUAGUUUAAGGACUGGGUGUCAUGAUAAAGACAUGAAAAUGGCAAAAGAGCAAAUACUUCCAAGUGACUCUUCAUUCUCCUUGAAUGAAUCAAGCACAGAUGCGUUCUACUCGCCUAUGGUGCAUGAACCCAACUCUGAUCAGUCACUUUCCACCAUGACCCCCACAGAUUCUAUGUUGUCACCUUUGACCUCUAGUUCACUAGACUGCCUCACACCUGGAGAUUCCUGGUUGGGUGGGGGAAGCAGUGGAUGGAGAGCCCUGGGAACUGAAACACCACACCGAGAUUCAGCUUACUUCUCUGACAGUGACUGGGAUGGUGGAGAGGGUUUAAGCAGAAGAGGCACUGAUGUAGUUGGCCCUUCUCGUCCAGGUAGUGUUCAAACAGGAGAGCGAGGAAUAUUGAUGGGAAUUGAGGAAAAGAUUGAGGAUGAAGGACUACUGGAUCAUUUAGAAAAGGAAGUGGAGAUGAAACAAGAUAUGCAGGGAUUGUGGGGUUCGAAUGAGAGAGCUGAUGUAGAGAAGGGUCUCAAACAAGGUGCUGUCAUUUCAGGAGAUUCUCAGAGCGAAUGCAAUGCUGAGUUUAUUGCCAGGUUUUUCUCCAGUGGACAGGAUGAGCCAAAUAAGGGAGUUCCAUUUAGCAACGGCUACCUUAACAUCCAAAACUCCUCUCUAGUUAAAAAUAGUGAGCUGUUCAUGUCUCACACAUUUUCGAAAGAAAGAAUGCUUCAUGAUUCAGGUGCUACAGAUCCUAGACUGCUUGCUGACAUGGUCUCAGAGCCUCAAAAACCCAUUUCUGGACCAGUUUGUCAAGAGCAACUCAUUGAACAUUGCUCAUAUUUGCAAACAGCGAAAAAUACGGAGGCACGUUGUACAUCACCUGAAUUCCCAGUUGAUGAACAGUCAUCAGACAAAAGUAAAUCCAGGUUAUCACGGUUUUAUAGCUUUCAGUCUGAUUAUUCUAAAUGCAUCACCAGCCCUGAGAUAAACACAAAGCUCAGCAAUGAUGACACCAAAUGUGGCUUGACCCAAUUCAUCUGGUCUGAGACAAAAGCUGAACAACCUACAGGAGGCGAGAAGGGUAAGCUUGAUAUCCAAGACGCAGAUGCAAAUGAACUAGGCUUGAGAAACCUCUCAUAUUUAGAAGAGUGUGAGGAUGAACAGGCAAAGGAAAGGUCUGAAAGUCAGCUAGCUGUAGGGGAGCUCUGCUUCACUGUCAAGGAAUCCCCCCAAAAUGCUGCAGAUGAGAAUGCCAGCAGUAUGGAGAUCUCAAAAGAUGAAAAUUCUGAUGAAUUUAGCAGAGGUGCCUCAAUGGGUCUUGAACUGAAAGAGAAGGAGUUGUGGAGUGCCCUUGAGGAAGAUUACAGUACGGAGGAAACUAUGAGAGGGGAAUUCAACUGCCAAACAUUUAAGCAGAGAGAACUUCACAUUUGGCCUGUAGAAAAUGACCAGUGGGCUGUAGCUGAAGCUCGGACACCAGAAGCAGGGCUUGGAUCAGAACUCUUCCCAAAUUUUGGAAAAAAGGCCUGGGGGGAGGAAGAACAUUUAAUGGUGAGUCAUGAAUUUUGGGAAUCUGAAGCAAAUGAUGAGCUUGCGGAUAGUGAGUCUCAUCCCUCUACUCAGAGA
ensembl:lncRNA